UGGGGAAUAUUGGACAAUGGGCGAAAGCCUGAUCCAGCCAUGCCGCGUGUGUGAAGAAGGUCUUCGGAUUGUAAAGCACUUUAAGUUGGGAGGAAGGGCAUUAACCUAAUACGUUAGUGUUUUGACGUUACCGACAGAAUAAGCACCGGCUAACUCUGUGCCAGCAGCCGCGGUAAUACAGAGGGUGCAAGAGUUAAUCGGAAUUACUGGGCGUAAAGCGCGCGUAGGUGGUUUGUUAAGUUGGAUGUGAAAGCCCCGGGCUCAACCUGGGAACUGCAUCCAAAACUGGCAAGCUAGAGUACGGUAGAGGGUGGUGGAAUUUCCUGUGUAGCGGUGAAAUGCGUAGAUAUAGGAAGGAACACCAGUGGCGAAGGCGACCACCUGGACUGAUACUGACACUGAGGUGCGAAAGCGUGGGGAGCAAACA
rnacentral:rRNA from 1 species